rnacentral:rRNA from 1 species
UACAGAGGUCUCAAGCGUUGUUCGGAUUCAUUGGGCGUAAAGGGUGCGUAGGCGGUGCAGCAAGUCGGGUGUGAAAUCCCCCAGCUCAACUGGGGAAUUGCGCCCGAAACUGCUGUGCUAGAGGAAGAUAGAGGUACGCGGAACUUAGGGUGGAGCGGUGAAAUGCGUUGAUAUCAUCAGGAACUCCGGUGGCGAAGGCGGCAUGCUGGACCUUCACUGACGCUGAGGCGCGAAAGCUAGGGGAGCGAACGGG